rnacentral:tRNA from 1 species
AGUUAAUGAACUUGAAUAAGUCUAUGUUUUGAAAACAUAUUAUAAAAGAAAUAAUCUUUUAUUAACUU